UAGGGAAUCUUCCGCAAUGGACGCAAGCCUGACGGAGCAACGCCGCGUGAGUGAAGAAGGAUUUCGGUUCGUAAAACUCUGUUGUUAGAGAAGAACAGCGCAUAGAGUAACUGUUAUGCGUGUGACGGUAUCUAACCAGAAAGCCACGGCUAACUACGUGCCAGCAGCCGCGGUAAUACGUAGGUGGCAAGCGUUGUCCGGAUUUAGUGGGCGUAAAGCGAGCGCAGGCGGUCAAUUAAGUCUGAUGUGAAAGCCCCCGGCUCAACCGGGGGGGGUCAUUGGAAACUGGUUGACUUGAGUGCAGAAGAGGAGAGUGGAAUUCCAUGUGUAGUGGUGAAAUGCGUAGAUAUAUGGAGGAACACCAGUGGCGAAGGCGACUCUCUGGUCUGUAACUGACGCUGAGGCUCGAAAGCGUGGGUAGCAAACAGG
rnacentral:rRNA from 1 species